rnacentral:rRNA from 1 species
UACGAAGGGUGCAAGCGUUACUCGGAAUUACUGGGCGUAAAGCGUGCGUAGGUGGUUUGUUAAGUCUGUUGUGAAAGCCCCGGGCUCAACCUGGGAAUGGCAAUGGAUACUGGCAGGCUAGAGUUCGGAAGAGGCGAGUGGAAUUCCUGGUGUAGCGGUGGAAUGCGCAGAUAUCAGGAGGAACACCGGUGGCGAAGGCGGCGAUCUGGGUCGAGACUGACGCUGAGGGGCGAAAGCGUGGGGAGCAAACAGG